GUGCUUACUACAGCAGCACAUAUACUAGAAUUUUAACAAUACAGAGAAGAUUCACAUGGCCCCUGUGCAAGGAUGACAUGCAAAUUUGUGAACCUUUCAUUAUUUUU
ensembl:snRNA U6 U6 spliceosomal RNA